GUAGGGUGCGAGCGUUAAUCGGAAUUACUGGGCGUAAAGCGUGCGCAGGCGGUUUUGUAAGACAGGCGUGAAAUCCCCGGGCUUAACCUGGGAAUGGCGCUUGUGACUGCAAGGCUAGAGUGCGUCAGAGGGGGGUAGAAUUCCACGUGUAGCAGUGAAAUGCGUAGAGAUGUGGAGGAAUACCGAUGGCGAAGGCAGCCCCCUGGGACGAGACUGACGCUCAUGCACGAAAGCGUGGGGAGCAAACAGGAUUAGAUACCCUGGUAGUCCACGCCCUAAACGAUGUCAACUAGUUGUUGGGGAUUCAUUUCCUCAGUAACGUAGCUAACGCGUGAAGUUGACCGCCUGGGGAGUACGGUCGCAAGAUUA
rnacentral:rRNA from 1 species